rnacentral:rRNA from 1 species
UGAUCAUGGCUCAGAUUGAACGCUGGCGGCAGGCCUAACACAUGCAAGUCGAGCGGUAGCACAAGAGAGCUUGCUCUCUGGGUGACGAGCGGCGGACGGGUGAGCAAUGUCUGGGAAACUGCCUGAUGGCGGGGGAUAACUAGUGGAAACGGUAGCUAAUACCGCAUAACGUCGCAAGACCAAAGUGGGGGACCUUCGGGCCUCACGCCAUCAGAUGUGCCCAGGUGGGAUUAGCUGGUAGGUGGGGUAACGGCCCACCCAGGCGACGAUCCCUAGCUGGUCUGAGAGGAUGACCAGCCACACUGGAACUGAGACACGGUCCAGACUCCUACGGGAGGCAGCAGUGGGGAAUAUUGCACAAUGGGCGCAAGCCUGAUGCAGCCAUGCCGCGUGUGUGAAGAAGGCCCUCGGGUUGUAAAGCACUUUCAGCGAGGAGGAAGGGUAAUGUGUUA